GGAAAAGAAAUCAACCGAGAUUCCCCCAGUAGCGGCGAGCGAACGGGGAGCAGCCCAGAGUCUGAAUCAGCUUGUGUGUUAGUGGAACGGUCUGGGAAGUCCGACGGUACAGGGUGAUAGUCCCGUACACCAAAAUGCACAGGUUGUGAACUCGAAGAGUAGGGCGGGACACGUGGUAUCCUGUCUGAAUAUGGGGGGACCAUCCUCCAAGGCUAAAUACUCCUGACUGACCGAUAGUGAACCAGUACCGUGAGGGAAAGGCGAAAAGAACCCCGGCGAGGGGAGUGAAAAAGAACCUGAAACCGUGUACGUACAAGCAGUGGGAGCACCUUCGGGUGUGACUGCGUACCUUUUGUAUAAUGGGUCAGCGACUUAUAUUCUGUAGCAAGGUUAACCGUAUAGGGGAGCCGCAGGGAAACCGAGUCUUAACUGGGCGUUAAGUUGCAGGGUAUAGACCCGAAACCCGGUGAUCUAGCCAUGGGCAGGUUGAAGGUUGGGUAACACUAACUGGAGGACCGAACCGACUAAUGUUGAAAAAUUAGCGGAUGACUUGUGGCUGGGGGUGAAAGGCCAAUCAAACCGGGAGAUAGCUGGUUCUCCCCGAAAGCUAUUUAGGUAGCGCCUCGUGAACUCAUCUUCGGGGGUAGAGCACUGUUUCGGCUAGGGGGUCAUCCCGACUUACCAACCCGAUGCAAACUACGAAUACCGAAGAAUGUUAUCACGGGAGACACACGGCGGGUGCUAACGUCCGUCGUGAAGAGGGAAACAACCCAGACCGCCAGCUAAGGUCCCAAAGUCAUGGUUAAGUGGGAAACGAUGUGGGAAGGCACAGACAGCCAGGAUGUUGGCUUAGAAGCAGCCAUCAUUUAAAGAAAGCGUAAUAGCUCACUGGUCGAGUCGGCCUGCGCGGAAGAUGUAACGGGGCUAAACCAUGCACCGAAGCUGCGGCAGCGACACUAUGUGUUGUUGGGUAGGGGAGCGUUCUGUAAGCCUGCGAAGGUGGCCUGUGAGGGUUGCUGGAGGUAUCAGAAGUGCGAAUGCUGACAUAAGUAACGAUAAAGCGGGUGAAAAGCCCGCUCGCCGGAAGACCAAGGGUUCCUGUCCAACGUUAAUCGGGGCAGGGUGAGUCGACCCCUAAGGCGAGGCCGAAAGGCGUAGUCGAUGGGAAACAGGUUAAUAUUCCUGUACUUGGUGUUACUGCGAAGGGGGGACGGAGAAGGCUAUGUUAGCCGGGCGACGGUUGUCCCGGUUUAAGCAUGUAGGCGGAGGUUCCAGGUAAAUCCGGUACCUUUUAACGCUGAGGUGUGAUGACGAGGCACUACGGUGCUGAAGUAACAAAUGCCCUGCUUCCAGGAAAAGCCUCUAAGCAUCAGGUAACAUUAAAUCGUACCCCAAACCGACACAGGUGGUCAGGUAGAGAAUACCAAGGCGCUUGAGAGAACUCGGGUGAAGGAACUAGGCAAAAUGGUGCCGUAACUUCGGGAGAAGGCACGCUGGUGUGUAGGUGAAGUCCCUGCGGACGGAGCUGAGACCAGUCGAAGAUACCAGCUGGCUGCAACUGUUUAUUAAAAACACAGCACUGUGCAAACACGAAAGUGGACGUAUACGGUGUGACGCCUGCCCGGUGCCGGAAGGUUAAUUGAUGGGGUUAUCCGUAAGGAGAAGCUCUUGAUCGAAGCCCCGGUAAACGGCGGCCGUAACUAUAACGGUCCUAAGGUAGCGAAAUUCCUUGUCGGGUAAGUUCCGACCUGCACGAAUGGCGUAAUGAUGGCCAGGCUGUCUCCACCCGAGACUCAGUGAAAUUGAACUCGCUGUGAAGAUGCAGUGUACCCGCGGCAAGACGGAAAGACCCCGUGAACCUUUACUAUAGCUUGACACUGAACAUUGAGCCUUGAUGUGUAGGAUAGGUGGGAGGCUUUGAAGCGUGGACGCCAGUCUGCGUGGAGCCAACCUUGAAAUACCACCCUUUAAUGUUUGAUGUUCUAACGUAGGCCCCUGACCGGGGUUGCGG
rnacentral:rRNA from 2 species